GACGAACGCUGGCGGCGUGCUUAACACAUGCAAGUCGAACGGAAAGGCCCUGCUUGCGCGCCACUCAAGUGGCCAACGGAUGAGUAACACGUGCGUGAUCUGCCCUGCACUUCGGGAGAAACCUGGGAAACUGGGUCUAAUACCGGAUAGGAGCCAUUUUUAAUGUGAUGGUUGGAAAGUUUUUUCCGGGUAUGAUGAGCUCGCGGCCUAUCUCCUUGCUGGAGGGGCAAUGGCCUACCGAGGCGGCUACCGGUAGCCCGCCUGAGAGGGCGAACUGACACAUUGAUCACUGACAUACGGCCCAGACUCCUACGGGAGACACCUACGGGGAAUAUUGCACAAUGAGCGCAAGCCUGAUGCAACGACGCCACGUAGCGCAUGACGGCCUUCGAGAUGGACACUCCUUUCGCUAGGGACGAAACUUUUUGUGACCGUACCUAUAUAAGACUCACCGUGUAACUACGUGCCAUCAUCCGCGAUACUACGUAUGGUGCGAGCGUUCUCCCGAAUUACUGCGCAUAAAGGACUCGUAAGUCGUAUGUCUCGUCCUCUGAGCAACUCCAGGCCUUAUCUCCAGUCGUACGUGCGAUACCGCCAUAACUCGAGUAUUGUCGGUGUAACCGAAUUCCUGGUGUAGCGGAGAUGUACACAGAUAUCAAGAAGAACCCCUAUGGCAAACGACUGUUACUGGUCAGUUACUGACUCUGAUGAGCGAAAGCGUGGAUAGCGAACGAGAUUAUAUACCCUGGUACUCCAUGCCAUACACUGAGGGCGCUAUGUGUGAGGGUCUUUUCACCACUUUCCUGCCGCAACUAACUCAUUAACCGCCCCUGCUGAGGAGUACGGCCGCAAGGCUAAUACUCAAAGGAAUUGACGGGGGGCCCCACAAGCGGCGCAGCAUGUGGAUUAAUUCGAUGCAACGCGAACAACCUUACCUGGUCUUGACAUACACCGGAUCGGGCUAGAGAUAGUCUUUCCCUUUGUGACUGAUGUACAGGUGGUGCAUGGUUGUCGUCAGCUCGUGUCGUGAGAUGUUGGGUUAAGUCCCGCAACGAGCGCAACCCUUGUCUUAUGUUGCCAGCAUUUGGUUGGGGACUCAUGAGAGACUGCCGGGGUCAACUCGGAGGAAGGUGGGGAUGACGUCAAAUCAUCAUGCCCCUUAUGUACAGGGCUUCACACAUGCUACAAUGGUCGGUACAACGGGCAGCGACACUGUGAGGUGGAGCGAAUUGCCGAAAGCCGGCUUUAGUUUGGAUUGGGGUUUGCAACUUGAGCCCCAAGAAGUCGGAGUCGGUAGUAAUUGCAGAUCAGACACGCUGCGGUGAAUACGUUCCCGGGUCC
rnacentral:rRNA from 1 species